rnacentral:rRNA from 1 species
GUUAUAGGGUCAAGUGAAUAAGUGCAUAUGGCGGAUGCCUUGGCGAUUACAGGCGAUGAAGGACGUGGUAGUCUACGAAAAUUUUCGGGGAGCUGGCAAACAAGCUUUGAUCCGGAAGUGUCCGAAUGGGGAAACCCACCCGCAAGGGUAUCUAUCUCUGAAUAUAUAGGAGACAAGAAGCGAACCGAGUGAACUGAAACAUCUAAGUAACUCGAGGAAAAGAAAUCAACCGAGAUUCCGAUAGUAGUGGCGAGCGAAAUCGGAGCAGCCUGUUAUUUUUAGCACGUGUGUUAGUAGAACGGAAUGGAAAGUCCGGCCAUAGAGGGUGAUAGCCCCUUAUACGAAAACCCGUGUGUGGAACUAGGAUAACGACAAGUAGGGCGGGACACGUGAAAUCCUGUCUGAAUAUGGGGGGACCAUCCUCCAAGGCUAAAUACUCGUAAUCGACCGAUAGUGAACUAGUACCGUGAGGGAAAGGUAAAAAGAACCCCGGAAGGGGAGUGAAAUAGAUCCUGAAACCGUAUGCAUACAAACAGUGGGAGCCCGCAAGGGUGACUGCGUACCUUUUGUAUAAUGGGUCAGCGACUUACAUUCAGUAGCAAGCUUAACCGAUAGGGGAGGCGCAGCGAAAGCGAGUCCUAAUAGGGCGAUUCAGUUGCUGGGUGUAGACCCGAAACCAAGUGAUCUAUCCAUGGCCAGGAUGAAGGUGCGGUAACACGUACUGGAGGUCCGAACCCACAAAUGUUGAAAAAUUUGGGGAUGAGCUGUGGAUAGGGGUGAAAGGCUAAACAAACUUGGAGAUAGCUGGUUCUCUCCGAAAACUAUUUAGGUAGUACCUCGUAUAUCAUUCUCGGGGGUAGAGCACUGUUAUAGCUAGGGGGGUCAUAAGACCUUACCAAACUAUUGCAAACUCCGAAUACUGAGAAAUGCAAUUACGGGAGACAGUCCAUGGGUGCUAACGUCCGUGGACAAGAGGGAAACAACCCAGACCGACAGCUAAGGUCCCAAAUGACGUGCUAAGUGGAAAACGAAGUGGGAAGGCAUAGACAGCUAGGAGGUUGGCUUAGAAGCAGCCACCCUUUAAAGAAAGCGUAAUAGCUCACUAGUCGAGUCGUCCUGCGCGGAAGAUGUAACGGGGCUAAGCACGUAACCGAAGCUUCGGGUGUGUAGCAAUACACGCGGUAGGAGAGCGUUCUGUAAGCCUGCGAAGAUGUCUCGUGAGGGAUGUUGGAGGUAUCAGAAGUGCGAAUGCUGACAUGAGUAGCGAUAAAGAGUGUGAAAAGCACUCUCGCCGAAAGCCCAAGGUUUCCUGCACAACGUUCAUCGGUGCAGGGUGAGUCGGCCCCUAAGGCGAGG